UCGAGUUGUUCCCCUUCGCAUAAUUGUUUUCUGUGUCAGUCAACUUUCGUUUUAUUGGAAAGGUAAACAACUUGUUUUAAUGCAUUAAAUGCUUGUUUAGUGCAAAAUUACAUUUCACUUACAUGGUAAAAUAUGAAUAUAACUCUUAAUGAUCAAUUUCAACCAUAAAAUACUUCACUUAAAACAAUUUCAAUAUUUUCAAAACACCCCCGUUUUCCUUUCUGUGUUUUACGCGUACAAAAUACAGGCAAAUGAUCACUGAGACCUAUCGGAAGAGUACCAGACUGAACAAUCUUGUUUUGAUGGCUACAUAAAAUGUGAUCUAACACAGAAGAGGAGGACUCUGAGAUUCUGGUCCCGUCUUUCGGUGAACGCCAGAUCUUCAUUAACGUAUAAGCAUACUCCACCACCUUGUCUGUUCCGGUCCUUUCUGAUCACAUUGUAUCCUUGAAUUUGUAUUUCCGAGUCCAUAACUGAAUUGUCCAGCCAGGUCUCUGAAAACGCUAUGGCUGCAAAUCUAUAUUUUGACAUUAAAUGUCUCACUUCUGGCAACUUUGGUAAUAGAGAUCGUAUGUUGAAAUGAAUAAAAUGAAGUCCUUUAAGUUCAAAGCAGUUAAAAUUACUACAAGAUUCAGCAAAACUAUUGUCAUGUAAAUCUGGCAGAAUUCUAUCAUGAAUAUCGUUUAAAUCAUCACAAAGAUAAAAAGGUAAUAAUUUAAAAGUACAUAUCCGACAAGUGAAAUAGAAAGAUCCAUUAGAUUUGCAUACGU